rnacentral:rRNA from 1 species
GGGUGUGAUCAUACCAACGUUAAUGCACCAGAUCGCAUCAGAACUCCGCAGUUAACCAUGCUUGGGCUAGAGUAGUACUAGGAUGGGUGACCUCCCAGGAAGUCGUAGUGUUGCACCCU